CAGUCGCCGCGGUAAUACGAAGGGUGCAAGCGUUACUCGGAAUUACUGGGCGUAAAGCGUGCGUAGGUGGUGGUUUAAGUCUGCUGUGAAAGCCCUGGGCUCAACCUGGGAAUUGCAGUGGAUACUGGAUCACUAGAGUGUGGUAGAGGGAUGCGGAAUUUCUGGUGUAGCAGUGAAAUGCGUAGAGAUCAGAAGGAACAUCCGUGGCGAAGGCGGCAUCCUGGGCCAACACUGACACUGAGGCACGAAAGCGUGGGGAGCAAACAGGAUUAGAUACCCCCGUAGUCCCUGUCUCUUAUAA
rnacentral:rRNA from 1 species